GUAGUCUCGCACAGAUGCAUAUCAAUAAGCGGAGGAAAAGAAACUAACAAGGAUUCCCUCAGUAACGGCGAGUGAAGCGGGAAGAGCUCAAAUUUGAAAUCUCGAAAGGUCACCUUUCACGAAUUGUAGUUUAAAGAAGUGUUUUCUGUUACGAUCGUAAUAUAAGUUCUUUGGAAUAGGACAUCACAGAGGGUGAGAAUCCCGUCUAUGAUUGCGAUUUGUAGCUUUGUGUUACACUUUCAAAGAGUCGGGUUGUUUGGGAAUGCAGCCCAAAACGGGAGGUAAAUUUCUUCUAAGGCUAAAUAUUGGCGAGAGACCGAUAGCGAACAAGUACCGUGAGGGAAAGAUGAAAAGAACUUUGAAAAGAGAGUUAAAUAGUACGUGAAAUUGUCAAAAGGGAAGCGUUUAACACCAGUGUUGUUUUCUGAAAAUCAACCUCUGUUAGCUUUAUGCAUGUUUGUUUAGACCUAAUCAGCUAUCUUGCAUGUUCUAUUGUUUGCAGUGGUGCACUUUUCAGUUUACAGGUCAACAUCAGUUUUUUUUACCGUAAAAAAGUUAAAGAAAGGUAGCUCAUGGCUCCGGUCGUGAGUGUUAUAGUCUUUUUCCUAUGCGGUAGGAGAGACUGAGGUCUGCAGUGUAGUCUCGCACAGAUGCAUAUCAAUAAGCGGAGGAAAAGAGGGCUAUUACCUACGCUUAGGAUGUUGAGUCGUAGAGCACGCAG
rnacentral:rRNA from 1 species